UCGCGAUCGACGACUCUCAGUCAGUCAGCUGAUCGGAAACAACUACGCCCCGAUGCGGUUCCAUCCUUGUAUGGUAAUGAGGUCAAGGGACAGCACUCUCAUCAAGAGCCCGACUGGUCAGUUUUUGUAAACAAACGACGUAAAGUCGAGGGAACUCUGCCGUUCUCAUUCACGACUGGGGGUGGUGUUUACCAAUACUAGUUCCCCUCGAUGCCGGAGGGCAGUCAGUGUGUGGAGGAAAACGAAGCUGUCAACAUCCACUCACGUACAUCUUCUACUACUGAGACAGUUGACGUGGGAACAGACACAAACCAACUCAUUUCGUGUCGGAGUAAGUCCUGUCAGUGUGUGACACCCUCCUUGAUGUCGACUGGUACCCAGAAGAGCAUGAACACAUCUUGGUGCACAAUUGCUGUCCAGUGUA